rnacentral:tRNA from 2 species
GGGCCUAUGGCGCAGCGGUUAGCGCAAUCGACUCAUAAUCGACAGGUCCCUGGUUCGAAUCCAGGUGGGCCCACCA